CGCGGUUGCUUAAGUUUUACGAGUCUCAUAAUUCUAAUUGAAUUCUACGUCUUCAAAUAAAAUAAGAUGUAGUACAAUUCGCAAAACUCAAAAGUUUAAAGUGCUAAAAUGUAUGUCUGAAUGAGUGAGAAAAUGUUUUCUGUUUUGGGCCAAACUUCCGGAUGUUUAAACCGAAGCCUUUACACGUCAGUGAAAAUUGUUAUGUCCCACGAAGCAGACUGCUUCUAAAAAAUCUAAAACUCGAACGAAACCCAGCUCUUCCUGCAGUGAAUGUAAAAAGACAGUCAUAUCAGCACCGAAAAAGAUCUGAGUGAAUCAUAAAACUGAACAACAACGAAUUACAUCAAAAAUCUUUACAGCAAGUUUUUUAAAAAAAUACCAUCUUAAAUUCCUCAAGAAAAAUGAUAACGCUUGGGACACCUGGUUUUAGUUUGCGCCGUGUGACUUUUGGACGAUGUGGACCGGAAUUAGUAGUGAUCAUAUAGCAAAACCGUGUAUACCGUGAAUAAGGAAAUGUGACCCAACUUCAUUGCAGUAUUGCGCAGAUUGCGUCUCCAUAUCAUAUCCGAAGGUAUGGAAAAGGAUGCUCAACUUAGCAGAGAUAGCGGAGAUGAAUCGAGCAAUUCAGAAAAAAUACAAAUUCGGUGCCGAUCCGACGCAAAAUAUGCAAAUGCACAAAUUGCAAAUACGAUUGACUAGUUCUUUAUUUCACAUAUUUAGCUGAUUUUGAAUACUUCCUCGUAAAAUUUUAAGAUUCUAUCUAUAUUUUUAGGUUAUGUUUACAUUUACAUCAUUACUAUUUUUAAACUAUUACGCAUGCUAUGUUUGAAAUUAACAGUUUUUGUAUUUAUUGAUACA